AGUGAACGCUGGCGGUAGGCCUAACACAUGCAAGUCGAACGGCCGCACAGUAAGAGCUUGCUCUUACGGGUGGCGAGUGGCGGACGGGUGAGGAAUACAUCGGAAUCUACUUUUUCGUGGGUGAUAACGUAGGGAAACUUACGCUAAUACCGCAUACGACCUACGGGUGAAAGCAGGGGAUCUUCGGACCUUGCGCGAUUGAAUGAGCCGAUGUCGGAUUAGCUAGUUGGCGGGGUAAAGGCCCACCAAGGCGACGAUCCGUAGCUGGUCUGAGAGGAUGAUCAGCCACACUGGAACUGAGACACGGUCCAGACUCCUACGGGAGGCAGCAGUGGGGAAUAUUGGACAAUGGGCGAAAGCCUGAUCCAGCAAUACCGCGUGGGUGAAGAAGGCCUUCGGGUUGUAAAGCCCUUUUGUUGGGAAAGAAAAGCAGCAGGUUAAUACCCCGCUGUUCUGACGGUACCCAAAGAAUAAGCACCGGCUAACUUCGUG
rnacentral:rRNA from 1 species